rnacentral:rRNA from 1 species
GGACCUAAGGCGAGGCCGAAAGGCGUAGUCGAUGGCAAACAGGUUAAUAUUCCUGUACUUCCUUAGCUGCGAUGGGAGGACGGAGAAGGUUAGACCAGCCACCUGUUGGAUGGUGGUUUAAGCGCAAAGGAGUGCACUCUAGGCAAAUCCGGAGUGAUUAUCUGAAGCGUGAUGACGAGUCUCUUUUGAGACGAAGUGGUUGAUACCAUGCUUCCAAGAAAAGUCCCUAAGCUUCAGGCAAAAGGAAUCCGUACCCCAAACCGACACAGGUGGGCGAGGAGAGUAUCCUAAGGCGUUUGAGAGAACUCGGGAGAAGGAACUCGGCAAAUUUGAACCGUAACUUCGGGAUAAGGUUCGCCUACGCAAGUAGGCCGCAGUGAAGAGGGGGUUGCGACUGUUUAUCAAAAACACAGCACUCUGCAAACACGAAAGUGGACGUAUAGGGUGUGACUCCUGCCCGGUGCUGGAAGGUUAAUUGAUGGGGUCAGCCGCAAGGCGAAGCUCUUGAUCGAAGCCCCAGUAAACGGCGGCCGUAACUAUAACGGUCCUAAGGU